ensembl:snoRNA
UAUGAAUCCUGUAGUCUUUAUGUCAAAGAAUGGAAUACAGCUUGCUAUAGCAACAAAAUCUAACCUAUUCCGGUGCUCUUCUCUCUGAGACAAGCCGUUAUAUAGACUCAGACAGU